UACGGAGGGUGCAAGCGUUAUCCGGAUUUACUGGGUUUAAAGGGUGUGUAGGCGGGCAGUUAAGUCAGUGGUGAAAUCUCCGGGCUCAACCCGGAAACUGCCAUUGAUACUAAUUGUCUUGAAUUCUGUUGAGGAGGGCGGAAUAUGUCAUGUAGCGGUGAAAUGCAUAGAUAUGACAUAGAACACCGAUAGCGAAGGCAGCUCUCUAAGCAGACAUUGACGCUGAGGCACGAAAGCGUGGGUAGCAAACAGG
rnacentral:rRNA from 1 species